CACAUGAGUGCAUUUUAAUAGGCUAGUUAUAUUUUGGCUAGAGCUAAUGGGUUCGUUGAUUCACUGGAUUCAACUAGGCAAUUAGCACAAAUUGAGAGGGUGGCCGAUUGGGUUGGGUCAAACCCAUACACGAACACAACACACGCAUGCAUACUGAGCCGGACCGGCUCCACCACACACGCACGCGCACGACUCUCUCGGCCUCUUCUCUCAACACGCCCACGAGACAGUUCGUUCCCCUCUCGCGUUGACUCCCUCCUGGCGAUGUGCCCGCCGCCGCUUCAAUUCCGGCCGUCGCCGGCCACAUCCGCCGCCGCCGCACGUCGGCCAAGUCCGGUGCCGCUGCACCCGCCGCAACUUCGCCUCUUCCUCCAGUACUGUUUUGCCGCCGCCGCGGCGCUCGCCGGCGCCCCCACGCGUAGCCCCGCAAAACCCUAGCCAUGGCUCGGGCUCGCCGUUGCGGCCACGGUGGUCCCAGGUCCCGGUUCUCACGCCUCCUGCUACUCCACCGCGACGCCUCCUCGUCGCUGGCCUCGAGCCCCAGCUCGACUACCCCGAUGCCAAUGACCUCCUCCUGGUUCCCUGCGUCGAUCUCCUCGGUGUGACGAUGGUGGUGUGAUGAUGUGAUGCGGCUGCUGCCUCUCAGCCUCCCAGGGGUAGCCGUGGCCUCCUGCAUCACCCUGCAGUGGUAGGCUGCGGUUGCCCCAGCCUCCACUUCGACGACCUUGCAGACUCCCUGGAUUAUGGGCUCGGCGAUACCUCCUGUCAAGUAUAAUCUCGGUUCACCCCCGCUCUCCCUCUCACCUGUGUUCUAUGAUCAAUUGGUACUAGUUGUGUGGCUAUAUUCUCCUGGACAUGUAUUAAAUUUGUGGGUGGUUUCAUCUGUGAGAUAUUUGGUUGUGGCAAUGGUCACCUAAUCAUCUAGGUAUGAAUAUGUGUGUGCAGAUGAAGUGCUGCUGAUGUAUUUGUGCUAGCUGGAUAUGUCUUGCUUAGGUCUAGCUAUUUUAGCAAUCUGGUAAAACAGUUCAUAGAUGCACAAGAUAUGAUCUCUAAUUAAUUUGUCUACAAGCAUCCACACAGAUAUAUCAAACAACGUGUAGGUGAGGUGUUGGAGUGUGUUUAAGAUCAGCUAUGUAUACUAAAUCAUAUAAGCAAUUAUUCCAAUAAUUGGUUGGUGUGUAAAUAAAUAGAUGGCAGCGUAUUAUCAUCAUGUUUUAAUUUUGUAUUGCAAGUGUAAGUGUGGGUAAUAUGCUUGAGCUUAUGAUGAUUUCCUGGUACAUACAUAUGGAUGAUAUAAGUAGCUAUUUUAUAUUUUCUGGCUGUGAUCUACUUACUGGUCAAGUUUUGGUGUUCUUGGAUGAUCAUCUAGAUGUGUGGAAUAUAGUUCAGAUUAAGCAUAAACUUUCCUAGUUGAUUUCAAGUGGCUUUAAUGUGCUGAAGUGAUCUAAAUAUGGAUUUUGGACAACUCUAGUUGAUGUCCAGCAACUCUAUUUGUUUACACAAACGCCCUCUCUUAUCUUCUCAACAAAGUAUUGAUCAAGAAAUGUUGUAUGCUAGUAUCUAGCCCUGCCAAAGAGGAUUUCCAAUUCUGAGGUACUUCUUAUGGUGAGUUCAUCCCUCUACCCACAAAUACGCUCUACUUCUCUCCCUAAGCCAACCUUGUGAUCUUCUGCAGCUUGCUCUUCGGGUAAUCGGAGCAACCUGCGUCUUGUGGCUUGCCUCCACCUCCUAGCUGCUUCAGCUUGGUCCUAUCUAUUGUAUGGAGUUGCCCAAAUUCGUUGGGUUUCUUGUAUCAUGGUGCUAUGUGGUCAAAAUGGCUGAUAUGGGGCUCCUUUUAUAGGAUUUUGAUGCUCAUCACAAGUUGACACCUCAAGUGGUGACUCUUACUCAUUUGAUGGAGAUGAGAAGAAGAAGAAAACAAGAUCAAGAAGAUUCCAAAAUCAACUUAGCUUAGGAUUUAAUUCAUUUGCUACUGUAAUAUUAAUUUGUAUUCAUUCCUACUUGUAAUAUUAGAUUGUAGGUUUGUAAUAUAUUCUAGUUCUUAUUUGGUAGACAUAUAACAUUCAAUUCAUGUUUGUAUUAUCGAGUUGUUGUUUAAAGGACAUUGUAUUGUUUCUUUGGAAUCCUGUAUUCCAAAGUUGGAAUUGUAUUUGAUGUAUAAGUAUGGUAUUUCCGAAGUUUA